rnacentral:rRNA from 1 species
GAUCCUGGCUCAGGAUGAACGCUAGCUACAGGCUUAACACAUGCAAGUCGAGGGGCAGCAUGGUCUUAGCUUGCUAAGGCCGAUGGCGACCGGCGCACGGGUGAGUAACGCGUAUCCAACCUGCCUUACACUCUUGGACAGCCUUCUGAAAGGGAGAUUAAUACAAGAUGUUAUCAUGAGUAAGCAUUUUCACAUGAUUAAAGGUUUACCGGUGUAAAAUGGGGAUGCGUUCCAUUAG